GACGAACGCUGGCGGCGUGCUUAACACAUGCAAGUCGAACGGAAAGGCCCUGCUUUUGUGGGGUGCUCGAGUGGCGAACGGGUGAGUAACACGUGAGUAACCUGCCCUUGACUUUGGGAUAACUUCAGGAAACUGGGGCUAAUACCGGAUAGGAGCUCCUGCUGCAUGGUGGGGGUUGGAAAGUUUCGGCGGUUGGGGAUGGACUCGCGGCUUAUCAGCUUGUUGGUGGGGUAGUGGCUUACCAAGGCUUUGACAGGUAGCCGGCCUGAGAGGGUGACCGGCCACAUUGGGACUGAGAUACGGCCCAGACUCCUACGGGAGGCAGCAGUGGAGAAUAUUGCACAAUGGGCGGAAGCCUGAUGCAGCAACGCCGCGUGCGGGAUGACGGCCUUCGGGUUGUAAACCGCUUUCGCCUGUGACGAAGCGUGAGUGACGGUAAUGGGUAAAGAAGCACCGGCUAACUACGUG
rnacentral:rRNA from 1 species